rnacentral:rRNA from 1 species
CCUACGGGAGGCAGCAGUGGGGAAUAUUGGACAAUGGGGGCAACCCUGAUCCAGCAAUACCGCGUGUGUGAAGAAGGCCUGAGGGUUGUAAAGCACUUUCAAUUGUGAAGAAAAGUUAGCGGUUAAUAACCGUUAGCCUUGACGUUAACUUUAGAAGAAGCACCGGCUAACUCCGUGCCAGCAGCCGCGGUUAUACGGAGGGUGCAAGCGUUAAUCGGAAUUACUGGGCGUAAAGCGUGCGUAGGCGGUUUAUUAAGUCAGAUGUGAAAGCCCCGGGCUUAACCUGGGAACUGCAUUAGAAACUGGUAAACUAGAGUAUGGUAGAGGAAAGUGGAAUUUCUGGUGUAGCGGUGAAAUGCGUAGAUAUCAGAAGGAACAUCAAUGGCGAAGGCAGCUUUCUGGACCAAUACUGACGCUGAGGUACGAAAGCGUGGGUAGCAAACAGGAUUAGAUACCCUGGUAGUCCACGCCGUAAACGAUGAUAACUAGCCGUUGGGGGGAUUUACCCUUUAGUGGCGAAGCUAACGCGUUAAGUUAUCCGCCUGGGGAGUACGGCCGCAAGGUUAAAACUCAAAGGAAUUGACGGA